AAUGAACGUUGGCGGCAUGGAUUAGGCAUGCAAGUCGAGCGAGAAGGGUUUUGAAGCUUGCUUUAGAACCCGGAAAGCGGCGAAAGGGAGAGUAACGAGUAGUUAUCUACCCCAAGGCCCGGAAUAGCUGCGGGAAACUGCAGGUAAUGCCGGAUAAUAUCCCCGGAUCAAAGGUGUGAUUCCGCCUUGGGAGGAGACUGCUUUGUACUAGCUUGUUGGUAGGGUAAUGGCCUACCAAGGCUACGAUGCAUAGCGGGCGUGAGAGCGUGGCCCGUCUCACUGGGACUGAAACACUGCCCAGACACCUACGGGUGGCUGCAGUCGAGAAUCUUCGGCAAUGGGCGAAAGCCUGACCGAGCGAUGCCGCGUGCGGGAUGAAGGCCCUCGGGUUGUAAACCGCUGUCGUAGAGGAGAAAGGUCUCGUGAAGAGCGUGAUUUGAUCUAUUCUAGGAGGAAGUCGGGGCUAAGUUCGUGCCAGCAGCCGCGGUAAUAC
rnacentral:rRNA from 1 species